CGCCGCGGUGCGCCGCGCUCAGCGCUCCGGCCGGCGCCUGGAGCCCGGGCAGCGCCACCCAGCGGCAGGAGAGCGCGAACGGGGCUGAGGGAAGAGGAGGGGCGGGGCGGGGCGGGGCGCCAUCCCGGUCCCGCGCUACGCUUGUGUGGGGAUGGAGCCGAGGGCUGCCAGGAGAUCAGCCACUGGAGGGCGACAUGAUCCCAAGUCACACGUAAAGCUCUAAGCCUGCUAAAUUGGGUAGCACGCACCCAGCAAGCACCGACAGUCAGCAAAGGAAUUUCUGCAUAAAGAUUGCCAUCCCCCAAGAUAUCCUGGAGAGCAAAGUCCCUUCCCAGUGGAGAAACUCAUGAAAAGAUGGAUUGGCCAGAGAACCUGAUCAUCACGUGGGACUGCCCAGGAAGCCAGAAGUCACGAAAGACUCUUAUGUGCCAGCAGGAGAUGAUGAAAAGAAACAAUAACCACAGCAGAGAAUGCAAAGACAGGCAGGAGGUGAGAGCAGCAAGGACUUCUAAAGAGGCCCUUUGUGUGAUUCCCAUAGAAGAAUCCAGAGAGGGAAAAGUGACAGGAUGCAACUGAAAGAUACUCUUUUAAACAUUUACUGAAAAGGACAGAGAAGAUGCAUGGAAGGACACACAUCACACACAAACCCCUGGGCACAUCAGCGCUAGUUAAAGUCACCUGCAAAGCACCAAGACGCUCUGCCACCUCAUCGUGGGACAGAUGCUGACUGCCCUCUGCGCCAGCUGAGCUCACCGUGCAUUCUUCAGUAAGAAAACACGACUGUGGCAUCGCAGCACAAAAUGGCUAUGUUGGGGACAUUGCGGGCUGUGCUCUCCUGCUCCAGGAGACAACAUGGAAGAACACGCAGUGCUGGGAAAAGUACACUUUCUUCACAAAUAAAUAGAAACGAAGCACAAUGCGAUAGACUACAACACAAUAAAACGCCCCCUUUAAAGCCAGCGCGCUACGGCUGGAUCCAGGCCGAAGGCUCUGUCGCAGGGAGGCAGCAGGCACGGGCGACCACGAGUCACCGGGAUGCUCCGCUCGGUUCACCGAUGCUCCAGCACCGUUUCCUCCCGCAGCACGCAGUCCUACCGCUAGACGCUACCGGGAGCCACCCUGGGGACGAGGAGAUGCCGCAGCCCAACCCGCGGGUAGCC